GGUUAAGCGACUAAGCGUACACGGUGGAUGCCCUGGCAGUCAGAGGCGAUGAAGGACGUGCUAAUCUGCGAAAAGCGACGGCGAGGUGAUAUGAACCUUUGACCCGUCGAUGUCCGAAUGGGGAAACCCAGUGCAAUUCGUUGCACUAUCGUUAACUGAAUACAUAGGUUAACGAGGCGAACCGGGGGAACUGAAACAUCUAAGUACCCCGAGGAAAAGAAAUCAACCGAGAUUCCCCCAGUAGCGGCGAGCGAACGGGGAGCAGCCCGGAGUCUGAAUCAGCUUGUGUGUUAGUGGAAGCGUCUGGAAAGUCGCACGGUACAGGGUGACAGUCCCGUACACGAAAAUGCACAGGUUGUGAACUCGAAGAGUAGGGCGGGACACGUGGUAUCCUGUCUGAAUAUGGGGGGACCAUCCUCCAAGGCUAAAUACUCCUGACUGACCGAUAGUGAACCAGUACCGUGAGGGAAAGGCGAAAAGAACCCCGGCGAGGGGAGUGAAAAAGAACCUGAAACCGUGUACGUACAAGCAGUGGGAGCACCUUCGUGGUGUGACUGCGUACCUUUUGUAUAAUGGGUCAGCGACUUAUAUUCUGUAGCAAGGUUAACCGUAUAGGGGAGCCGCAGGGAAACCGAGUCUUAACUGGGCGUUAAGUUGCAGGGUAUAGACCCGAAACCCGGUGAUCUAGCCAUGGGCAGGUUGAAGGUUGGGUAACACUAACUGGAGGACCGAACCGACUAAUGUUGAAAAAUUAGCGGAUGACCUGUGGCUGGGGGUGAAAGGCCAAUCAAACCGGGAGAUAGCUGGUUCUCCCCGAAAGCUAUUUAGGUAGCGCCUCGUGAACUCAUCUUCGGGGGUAGAGCACUGUUUCGGCUAGGGGGCCAUCCCGGCUUACCAACCCGAUGCAAACUACGAAUACCGAAGAAUGUUAUCACGGGAGACACACGGCGGGUGCUAACGUCCGUCGUGAAGAGGGAAACAACCCAGACCGCCAGCUAAGGUCCCAAAGUCAUGGUUAAGUGGGAAACGAUGUGGGAAGGCACAGACAGCCAGGAUGUUGGCUUAGAAGCAGCCAUCAUUUAAAGAAAGCGUAAUAGCUCACUGGUCGAGUCGGCCUGCGCGGAAGAUGUAACGGGGCUAAACCAUGCACCGAAGCUGCGGCAGCGACGCUUAUGCGUUGUUGGGUAGGGGAGCGUUCUGUAAGCCGUUGAAGGUGUGCUGUGAGGCAUGCUGGAGGUAUCAGAAGUGCGAAUGCUGACAUAAGUAACGAUAAAGCGGGUGAAAAGCCCGCUCGCCGGAAGACCAAGGGUUCCUGUCCAACGUUAAUCGGGGCAGGGUGAGUCGACCCCUAAGGCGAGGCCGAAAGGCGUAGCCGAUGGGAAACAGGUUAAUAUUCCUGUACUUGGUGUUACUGCGAAGGGGGGACGGAGAAGGCUAUGUCAGCCGGGCGACGGUUGUCCCGGUUUAAGCGUGUAGGUGUGUGUUCCAGGCAAAUCCGGUUCACUUUAACACUGAGGCGUGAUGACGAGGCACUACGGUGCUGAAGUGAUAAAUGCCCUGCUUCCAGGAAAAGCCUCUAAGCAUCAGGUAACACGAAAUCGUACCCCAAACCGACACAGGUGGUCAGGUAGAGAAUACCAAGGCGCUUGAGAGAACUCGGGUGAAGGAACUAGGCAAAAUGGUGCCGUAACUUCGGGAGAAGGCACGCUGAUAUGUAGGUGAAGUCCCUGCGGACGGAGCUGAAAUCAGUCGAAGAUACCAGCUGGCUGCAACUGUUUAUUAAAAACACAGCACUGUGCAAACACGAAAGUGGACGUAUACGGUGUGACGCCUGCCCGGUGCCGGAAGGUUAAUUGAUGGGGUUAGCGGCAACGCGAAGCUCUUGAUCGAAGCCCCGGUAAACGGCGGCCGUAACUAUAACGGUCCUAAGGUAGCGAAAUUCCUUGUCGGGUAAGUUCCGACCUGCACGAAUGGCGUAAUGAUGGCCAGGCUGUCUCCACCCGAGACUCAGUGAAAUUGAACUCGCUGUGAAGAUGCAGUGUACCCGCGGCAAGACGGAAAGACCCCGUGAACCUUUACUAUAGCUUGACACUGAACACUGGUCCUUGAUGUGUAGGAUAGGUGGGAGGCUUUGAAGCGUGGACGCCAGUCUGCGUGGAGCCGUCCUUGAAAUACCACCCUUUAAUGGCUGGUGUUCUAACGUGGACCCGUGAUCCGGGUUGCGGACAGUGUCUGGUGGGUAGUUUGACUGGGGCGGUCUCCUCCCAAAGAGUAACGGAGGAGCACGAAGGUUAGCUAAUCCUGGUCGGACAUCAGGAGGUUAGUGCAAUGGCAUAAGCUAGCUUGACUGCGAGAGUGACGGCUCGAGCAGGUGCGAAAGCAGGUCAUAGUGAUCCGGUGGUUCUGAAUGGAAGGGCCAUCGCUCAACGGAUAAAAGGUACUCCGGGGAUAACAGGCUGAUACCGCCCAAGAGUUCAUAUCGACGGCGGUGUUUGGCACCUCGAUGUCGGCUCAUCACAUCCUGGGGCUGAAGUAGGUCCCAAGGGUAUGGCUGUUCGCCAUUUAAAGUGGUACGCGAGCUGGGUUUAGAACGUCGUGAGACAGUUCGGUCCCUAUCUGCCGUGGGCGCUGGAGAAUUGAGGGGGGCUGCUCCUAGUACGAGAGGACCGGAGUGGACGCAUCACUGGUGUUCGGGUUGUCAUGCCAAUGGCACUGCCCGGUAGCUAAAUGCGGAAGAGAUAAGUGCUGAAAGCAUCUAAGCACGAAACUUGCCCCGAGAUGAGUUCUCCCUGAGACUUUAAGUCUCCUGAAGGAACGUUGAAGACGACGACGUUGAUAGGCCGGGUGUGUAAGCGCAGCGAUGCGUUGAGCUAACCGGUACUAAUGAACCGUGAGGCUUAACCUU
rnacentral:rRNA from 1 species